AUGGAAUUACAAAAACUUAAAGGUGUAGGCCCAGCCGUUGCAGAUAACAUUAAAGCGUAUCUCAGUGCGUCCGGCAAUUUUUUAGGACCAGAAGACCUGGCUCAGGUAAGGAACCUAAAGCUCAACAAAGAGGAAAUCGAAAGAUUCAGUUUCCAUACAAAUCCAAAAUAUAGCUUUUUGCAUACCACUAAGAGUCAGUCUGAGGGUUCAACUAGUGUGGGAGAUGUUAGCGAAAAUUCUCCCUCACCUGCUGUUCAUGAGACUGCGGAUGAGGAAGUCUUUACUGAUCAGGGGAUUGGGCCGGGUGAUACACCACACGGCAAUCCUCAAUCAGAAAGGACCGGUUCUGAGGAAAUUAUGAAUGACGCCUUGAGGGGUUCGAUUACAAAGAAAAAUAAAGAAAAAAGUCAAAGUCAAAGUCUUAGACCAAAAGAAUUUGAGUUACCACCACCCCUCAAGGACCCAAGUGAUCAAAGUUGCUCCUCCCAUACAAACCUCAUGCUCUCCAGUUCCUCAAAUGUUUCCGCCAACAACCGUAAGUGCACCAUACGGUGGAAUGCAGCCACAAUGGGGUAUGCAAUAUUCCCCGGGCUAAUCAACAAUGAUGCCGCCCUACGGUAUGGCGCCGUGGGGACCUUACCCAUAUCCAUAUUACCCUCCACAACCAUAUGGGCAUCCCAUAAUGUCAUUACCGCAGACUAA
rnacentral:sRNA from 1 species